GCGCUUGUAGCUCAACGGAUAGAGCGCAAGAUUGCGGAUCUUGAGGUUGUGGGUUCGAUUCCCGCCAGGCGCG
rnacentral:tRNA from 1 species